UAAACCUAAAUAUUUAGGCUAAUAUGCAAAUUUAUUGUACGGAUCAACGGAAAUACCAAAAUAAAAGCUUCCCGAAAACCUCCGGUGCAAAAUUGUGUCUGUUCUCCUCCUCACUUCUCCCCGCCAUGUGCUGCUUCACUUCUUGCCUACGAGCAUGUCCAGCGAUUUUGCUGGACAUGUGCUGCAGCGAUUGUGAAGUGAAGACUGCAGCUGCUAAGAGUGCACUACUGCUGAACCUUUGGAUGGCCGACAAAACGGAUCUUCCGAUGUUUUCAGCUAAAUCGCCGGACGUGCUUUCUCAUGAUUACAAACGAUGUGCGAGAUUGCUAACACGAUUAGCGAUGAGUCCACUCUGCAUGCAGUCCUAGAUAUUGCAUGUCCCAGAAUAACAGAAGAAGGAUCGACGUGGUGCCAAGGAAGUGCCUUCAAACCCACAGCAGUCAUGAGAACGUGGUUGUGUUUCUAGUGUUUCUACUUUCUGUUGUUCUCGCUGUGAUCGACGGACGCCGUUGGAUGUUUUUGAAUGGAUGUACCUGUAUAUACCAUGUAUCUGUAAAGAAAUAUUAAUUUAAUAUUAAAUGCACCUAUUUAUUGAGAAGGAAUGUAUAUAAUAAUUUCACAGUUAUUCAAAAUUUGAUUCCUUUUUGGUUAUUACAGUUAUGGAUGAGGAAGAAGCUUCUUUUCUCAUCCAUAUAUAAGACUCCCACUGUUAUACUGAUGUUAUGCUCUGUCAUUGACUUCAUUACAUUUUAUUUGGCACUGGAGUGAACUAAAGGAUGUGGCUGACAAUGAGAAUAUAUGGAAUAAGAGCAAUGGUGAUAAUGCACUGCAGUACUGAACAAUAAAGAAUACUGAAGCACA